rnacentral:rRNA from 1 species
CCUACGGGAGGCAGCAGUGAGGAAUAUUGGUCAAUGGACGAGAGUCUGAACCAGCCAAGUAGCGUGAAGGAGGACUGCCCUAUGGGUUGUAAACUUCUUUUAUGUGGGAAUAAAAUGUUCCACGUGUGGGAUUUUGUAUGUACCAUAUGAAUAAGGGUCGGCUAACCCCGUGCCAGCAGCCGGGGUAAGACGGUGGAUCCGAGCGUUAUCCGGAUUGGUUGGGUUUAAAGGGAGCGUAGGUGGAUUGUUAAGUCAGUUGUGAAAGUGUGCGGCUCAACCGUAAACAUGCAGUUGAAACUGGCAGUCUUGAGUACAGUAGAGGGCGGCGGAAUUCGUGGUGUAGCAGUGAAAUGCUUAGAUAUAACGAAGAACUCCGAUUGCGAAGGCAGCUGCCUGGACUGUAACUGACACUGAGGCUCGAAAGUGUGGGUAUCAAAUAGGAUUAGAUACCCGUGUAGUC